UACGUAGGUGGCCAGCGUUACUCGGAAUCACUAGGCGUAAAGCGCAGGUAGGUGGUUGGAUAAGUCUGUUGUGAAAGCUCCUGGCUCAACUGGGAGAGGUCAACAGAAACUGUCUGGCUAGAGUAUGGCAGGGGAAACUGGAAUUCCCGGAGUAGCGGUGAAAUGCGUAGAUAUCGGGAGGAAUACCGAUGGCGAAAGCAGGUUUCUGGGCCAUAACUGACACUGAGCUGCGAAAGCUAGGGGAGCAAACAGG
rnacentral:rRNA from 1 species